rnacentral:rRNA from 1 species
CAGAGCCACGGUAAUACGAAGGGGGCUAGCGUUGUUCGGAAUCACUGGGCGUAAAGCGCACGUAGGCGGAUUUUUAAGUCAGGGGUGAAAUCCCGAGGCUCAACCUCGGAACCGCCUUUGAUACUGGAGAUCUUGAGUUCGGAAGAGGUUGGUGGAACAGCUAGUGUAGAGGUGAAAUUCGUAGAUAUUAGCUAGAACACCAGUGGCGAAGGCGGCCAACUGGUCCGACACUGACGCUGAGGUGCGAAAGCGUGGGGAGCAAACAGGAUUAGAUACCCCUGUAGUCCCUGUCUCUUAUACA